rnacentral:rRNA from 1 species
AUUGAACGCUGGCGGCAGGCCUAACACAUGCAAGUCGAACGGUAACAGGAAGCAGCUUGCUGCUUUGCUGACGAGUGGCGGACGGGUGAGUAAUGUCUGGGAAACUGCCCGAUGGAGGGGGAUAACUACUGGAAACGGUAGCUAAUACCGCAUAACGUCGCAAGACCAAAGAGGGGGACCUUAGGGCCCCUUGCCAUCGGGUGUGCCCAGAUGGGAUUAGCUAGUAGGUGGGGUAACGGCUCACCUAGGCGACGAUCCCUAGCUGGUCUGAGAGGAUGACCAGCCACACUGGAACUGAGACACGGUCCAGACUCCUACGGGAGGCAGCAGUGGGGAAUAUUGCACAAUGGGCGCAAGCCUGAUGCAGCCAUGCCGCGUGUAUGAAGAAGGCCUUCGGGUUGUAAAGUACUUUCAGCGGGGAGGAAGGGAGUAAAGUUAAUACCUUUGCUCAUUGACGUUACCCGCAGAAGAAGCACCGGCUAACUCCGUG